UGCGCAGUAUUUUGUCUGGGCCCG
rnacentral:siRNA from 1 species